CUACGGGGCGCUCCAGUGAGGAAUACUGCACAAUGGGGGGAACCCUGAUGCAGCAACGCCGCGUGGAGGAUGACGCAUUUCGGUGUGUAAACUCCUUUUAUAUGUCAAGAAAAUGACGGUAGCAUAUGAAUAAGCACCGGCUAGCUCCGUGCCAGCAGCCGCGGUAAUACGGAGGGUGCAAGCGUUACUCGGAAUCACUGGGCGUAAAGGACGCGUAGGUGGGUUGGAAAGUCAGGUGUGAAAUCCUACAGCUUAACUGUAGAACUGCACUUGAAACUUCUAAUCUAGAGUAUGGGAGGGGGAGAUGGAAUUAGUGGUGUAGGGGUAAAAUCCGUAGAUAUCACUAGGAAUACCUAAAGCGAAGGCGAUCUCCUGGAACAUUACUGACGCUAAGGCGUGAAAGCGUGGGGAGCAAACAGGAUUAGAUACCCGAGUAGUC
rnacentral:rRNA from 1 species